rnacentral:rRNA from 1 species
UUGAAGAGUUUGAUCAUGGCUCAGAUUGAACGCUGGCGGCAGGCCUAACACAUGCAAGUCGAACGGUAACAGGAAGCAGCUUGCUGCUUUGCUGACGAGUGGCGGACGGGUGAGUAAUGUCUGGGAAACUGCCUGAUGGAGGGGGAUAACUACUGGAAACGGUGGCUAAUACCGCAUAACGUCGCAAGACCAAAGAGGGGGACCUUCGGGCCUCUUGCCAUCAGAUGUGCCCAGAUGGGAUUAGCUUGUUGGUGAGGUAACGGCUCACCAAGGCGACGAUCCCUAGCUGGUCUGAGAGGAUGACCAGCCACACUGGAACUGAGACACGGUCCAGACUCCUACGGGAGGCAGCAGUGGGGAAUAUUGCACAAUGGGCGCAAGCCUGAUGCAGCCAUGCCGCGUGUAUGAAGAAGGCCUUCGGGUUGUAAAGUACUUUCAGCGGGGAGGAAGGUGUUGUGGUUAAUAACCGCAGCAAUUGACGUUACCCGCAGAAGAAGCACCGGCUAACUCCGUGCCAGCAGCCGCGGUAAUACGGAGGGUGCAAGCGUUAAUCGGAAUUACUGGGCGUAAAGCGCACGCAGGCGGUCUGUCAAGUCGGAUGUGAAAUCCCCGGGCUCAACCUGGGAACUGCAUUCGAAACUGGCAGGCUUGAGUCUUGUAGAGGGGGGUAGAAUUCCAGGUGUAGCGGUGAAAUGCGUAGAGAUCUGGAGGAAUACCGGUGGCGAAGGCGGCCCCCUGGACAAAGACUGACGCUCAGGUGCGAAAGCGUGGGGAGCAAACAGGAUUAGAUACCCUGGUAGUCCACGCCGUAAACGAUGUCUACUUGGAGGUUGUGCCCUUGAGGCGUGGCUUCCGGAGCUAACGCGUUAAGUAGACCGCCUGGGGAGUACGGCCGCAAGGUUAAAACUCAAAUGAAUUGACGGGGGCCCGCACAAGCGGUGGAGCAUGUGGUUUAAUUCGAUGCAACGCGAAGAACCUUACCUGGUCUUGACAUCCACAGAAGAAUCCAGAGAUGGAUUUGUGCCUUCGGGAACUGUGAGACAGGUGCUGCAUGGCUGUCGUCAGCUCGUGUUGUGAAAUGUUGGGUUAAGUCCCGCAACGAGCGCAACCCUUAUCCUUUGUUGCCAGCGGUUAGGCCGGGAACUCAAAGGAGACUGCCAGUGAUAAACUGGAGGAAGGUGGGGAUGACGUCAAGUCAUCAUGGCCCUUACGACCAGGGCUACACACGUGCUACAAUGGCGCAUACAAAGAGAAGCGACCUCGCGAGAGCAAGCGGACCUCAUAAAGUGCGUCGUAGUCCGGAUUGGAGUCUGCAACUCGACUCCAUGAAGUCGGAAUCGCUAGUAAUCGUGGAUCAGAAUGCCACGGUGAAUACGUUCCCGGGCCUUGUACACACCGCCCGUCACACCAUGGGAGUGGGUUGCAAAAGAAGUAGGUAGCUUAACCUUCGGGAGGGCGCUUACCACUUUGUGAUUCAUGACUGGGGUGAAGUCGUAACAAGGUAACCGUAGGGGAACCUGCGGUUGGAUCACCUCCUU